AGAAUCAACGCUGGCGGCGUGCCUCAGACAUGCAAGUCGAGCGAGAACCGGUCCUUCGGGACCGGAGAAAGCGGCGAACGGGUGAGUAACACGUGGGUAAUCUGCCCUCGGUUCUGGGAUAGCCCGGGGAAACCCGGAUUAAUACCGGAUAGCCUUUCGAGUCUUCGGGCUCGUCAGAAAAAGUGGCUUCGGCUACCGACCGAGGAGGAGCCUGCGGCGGAUUAGCUAGUUGGUAAGGUAAUGGCUUACCAAGGCUUCGAUCUGUA
rnacentral:rRNA from 1 species